GCCUGGGUGGCUCAGUCGGUUAGGCGUCUGACUUCAGCUCAGGUCACGAUCUCGCGGUCCGCGAGUUCGAGCCCCGCGUCGGGCU
rnacentral:tRNA from 1 species